GACGAACGCUGGCGGCGUGCCUAAUACAUGCAAGUCGAACGCAGUGGGGACGGGUGAGUAACACGUGGGUAACCUCCCAUCAGAGGGGAUAACACUUGGAAACAGGUGCUAAACCGAUACUGAUGGAUGGACCCGCGGUGCAUUAGCUAGUUGGUGAGGUAACGGCUCACCAAGGCCACGAUCCCUAGCUGGUCUGAGAGGGUGACCGGCCACACUGGAACUGAGACACGGUCCAGACUCCUACGGGAGGCAGCAGUGGGGAAUAUUGCACAAUGGGCGAAAGCCUGACGCAGCCAUGCCGCGUGUAUGAAGAAGGCCUUCGGAUUGUAAAGUACUUUCAUUGGGGAGGCGGUACCCGCAGAAGAAGCACCGGCUAACUCCGUGCCAGCAGCCGCGGUAAUAC
rnacentral:rRNA from 1 species